rnacentral:lncRNA from 1 species
UCUUAUUUCUGUUAGAGGUUCCGUAGACGUUGUGUGGGUUGUAUCUUAUUUUGAGAAAGUUAAACUAAAUUUGUUGUAAUUAUAUCACAUGUUCCACUUCAACCACGAAUGUAUAGUGUACUGUUUGGAGACUUGUUAAUGGCGUAACUAAUGGAAAUGAACUGGUAUUAUUCACAUGACCUCUUACUGUCUAAUUAAUAAAAUGUAUCUUCUCUUUAUUCAUGGGAGAAUUGGGUAGGUGGUAUUGUACAGGCUUGUUCGACCGAGGUAUUUCGGUUGAGCGCCGGUCUCGCUCCCCAAGGUCGUGGCAUGAGAGACAGUUCCAUGGAGAAGGAUGGCUCCCAGUCUUCCAGCUCUUUCUGCUCUUUCUGCAACUGCUCUGAACUCUUAGCAUUGGCAUCUUCCCUUUGCACUAAGGCCUCCUUCUCAACCUUAAAUCCUUCAAGAUCGGACUUCAACUUUUGAUUUGCCUCGGUAAGCUCCAUAACCUUAGCCAUCUACCCCUGCACCCUUUUAAGUCCAUCCAUGGAGAUCAACUUGCCCUACAAAAUGAAAUAUAUGAGUGACUAAAAUAGUAGUCCCCAGGAUAGCAAAAUAGUUUAAUGCAAACAAAUUAUCUUAUCUUGAGAGCUAACAAAAUAAUAUGUGAAAUCAACCCCUCUGUUGAGUGCCUCCUAAGUUGGACACUUUCCACGGGAUUGAUCAACUCAUGUAGAUAAAUGCCAGCAUGGCUUGGAGCCUUGAAAAUAUUAAUAUUGCCAGGAACGAAGAUCAUAAUUGUGCAAUUACCGACGUUAGUUGAGAGACUGGCUUGCAACACCUGCUCCUGAUCUCUGUUGGCAUCCCUAAACUCUAGACGAUAUCAUUCCCGAUAAAUAACCAUAGGUGCUUCAUGCAAACCUUUAACUUUCCCGGGUUGCUCCCCCUCUUGCUAAUGUCAUUAUUUAUCUUCUUAAAAAGAACCAACAAGAGGUUGUCUCACCGAUUGUUGGCUCCCCCCUUCCGGGACGACACUAGACAUAUCAAAAUUUUAUUUCUUCCUAGUAAGUAAAUCCAAAAAGUGCCUAUUAAGCCCCUCCAAGAUCAGAAAACAAGGGCUAAACUUAAAGUCAGGAUUGAGACUGCUACUUCUUCCCAGUCGAACCUCCAAAGAUGUGAAAAACUGAGUUGUAUAGUUCCAUAAUAGUGUUGUAACCAAUUCAAAUUGAUAAAACAAGAUGCUACCAUAAUUAUUGGCCUUCCACUCUCUUUCAGUAGAAAUGGCCUUCCAAGAUCUUGAAGCUUUGGUGGAGACACUUAAGAUCUUGCCGACCCAUCCCUACAUAGUGUUAAAAGUCACUAUGGUGAUUGCAGAUUAGAUGAAUCAUGAGGUAAGCAUAGUAAACAACCAUCCCCGAUCAUAAUCAUCAUUGGUGUUGGAGAUGAUGGCCCACUUGCCUCGUGGAUUCAUUGUGAACAUGCCGCCCCAAAAAAGCUUGGGAGAUUAGAGAUGCAGAAAAUGCCAAAAAGUAAAGUUCUCAUCGGUCGAGGAAGGAAGACUAGAGGAAGCCUGUAAUGAGUCUCCAUACUUGAGGCCCCACUUGAUCCAAGCAAAUAUUAUAUCUUCUACACAUCUCCUCGGAGAAUUCAUUAAUUGAAAGCCCAAACCUAAUGGUGGAGGAAUAUUUGUACACAAAUAAAAAAUAAUCGCCAUGGUUGAUAAUUCAGCUGCCCUAUCGGACACAAUGAACCUGUACAUUUUCAUCCCAUCCACACUCCACCCGAACGGAAGGAAGGUGGUCCAACUGUAUUAAAGAAGUGUAUUCAUCCACCAGGGCAUUUCUGUCACUGAGAUGCUUCGCGAUCUUGCCUUGAGAUCAGUCAGUUGAGAGGUUCAACUCCUUGGGAAUAAUGUCGCACACGGUUUUCUCUAGACUAGGAUCACAGUCAGUGCUAUUGAUCCCAAAGGAAGAUUUGUGGGUGAUGGUUUUUUCCUUUCUCACCAACCCCAUCAUAUCUACUUCCUCACCUCUUCGGUAGGAGCCAUCAGAAACCAUCUCUCGGUAGUGUCAAAUCUUGUGAUGGCGGAGUAUUAACUAGGUUGAAGGUCAUGACCCUGAGAUUGCAUAAACAAUAUGCAUACAUGAAGACAAAACUAAAGAAAAUUUAGAAAUUAUAGACUGAAAAGGCAAGAACUUAAGAAAAGUUUCACGAAACAACAAUAAAAUCUCUAACAGAAAAAUGAAUAGGGAAAAGAAGAAGAAUGGGUGAAGGGAGUUGGUAUUUUCAAGCGCAGGGUAAUUAUUGCCUUGUUAAUGAAUAAUGACAUCAUCAAUAACCUGAUCUUGUCACAUGUACCAGUUGUAAAGUUGAAGGGACAUCCGCUUUAUCAGAUGACGGUUAUGUUUUAUUUCCCACAUAAAUUUUUUUAUUUUCCAGUCAGCUCAAGAGAACUGCCCGAAAAGUGAGGGAGCUAUCUGUAUUGGUAAUUAAUAUACCGGCAUGAAGACUCUUUUAUCGGAAACGUGGCAAGUACUGAAGAAACUCAUCAUAGUCAACUCCUAGUUAGCCGGUUCUAGCUUGUUCAAAG